rnacentral:rRNA from 1 species
CGGCGAUACCCGAAUGGGGAAACCCAGUGUGAUUCGUCACACUAUCAUUAACUGAAUCCAUAGGUUAAUGAGGCGAACCGGGGGAACUGAAACAUCUAAGUACCCCGAGGAAAAGAAAUCAACCGAGAUUCCCCCAGUAGCGGCGAGCGAACGGGGAGGAGCCCAGAGCCUGAAUCAGCAUGUGUGUUAGUGGAAGCGUCUGGAAAGGCGCGCGAUACAGGGUGACAGCCCCGUACACAAAAGCGCAUGUGCUGUGAGCUCGAUGAGUAGGGCGGGACACGUGGUAUCCUGUCUGAAUAUGGGGGGACCAUCCUCCAAGGCUAAAUACUCCUGACUGACCGAUAGUGAACCAGUACCGUGAGGGAAAGGCGAAAAGAACCCCGGCGAGGGGAGUGAAAAAGAACCUGAAACCGUGUACGUACAAGCAGUGGGAGC